CGUAACAAGGUUUCCGUAGGUGAACCUGCGGAAGGAUCA
rnacentral:rRNA from 2 species